rnacentral:rRNA from 1 species
AUGGUGAAAAUGAAUGGGGGGAAAGAUAAAAUUGAAUGGACCCUCACUGCUGAUAAGAGAUUCUCCGUCAAAUCUUUAUACAAGGAACUGAUUACAUCUGGGAUUAAAUUUCCACAGAAAUAUCUGUGGAAAAUCAAAGUCCCUGCCAAAAUAAAAGUUUUCUUGUGGCUAGUGAAUAAAAAAAGCAUCUUAACUAGGGAUGUUUUACUCAAAAAAGGGUGGAAAGGAGGGAAAGAAUGUGUUCUUUGUGGACAAAAUGAAUCAAUUGAUCACCUGUUGUUCGACUGUUCUGCGACAUCCCUGAUGUGGAGCUUGGUCAGAUGUGUUUGUGGCUUGAAAUCUAGUCCUUUAAAUGUAAAAGAUUGUUUUGGGGGGUGGAUAAACAAAUUCAACAAGGAAGACAAGAAAAUGGUGAUGAUUGGUGUUUAUUCUGGGCUAUUUGGAAAAGCAGGAAUGCAAUUGUCUUUGAGAAGAAAAGGAUUAAUGAUCCUUUGCAGAUUAUCAAACUAA